UGUAGGGUGAGAUAACAAAGGA
rnacentral:misc_RNA from 1 species